rnacentral:rRNA from 1 species
CCUACGGGCGGCUGCAGUGAGGAAUAUUGGUCAAUGGGCGUAAGCCUGAACCAGCCAAGCCGCGUGAGGGAGGAAGGUUCUAUGUAUCGUAAACCUCUUUUAUCAGGGAAUAAAGUGUGGGACGUGUCCUCUUAUGUAUGUACCUUAAGAAUAAGCAUCGGCUAACUCCGUGCCAGCAGCCGCGGUAAUACGGAGGAUCCGAGCGUUAUCCGGAUUUAUUGGGUUUAAAGGGUGCGCAGGCGGCCUUUUAAGUCAGCGGUGAAAGGCCGUGGCUCAACCAUAGGAUUGCCGUUGAAACUGGGGGGCUUGAGUAUGUGUGAGGCAGGCGGAAUGCGUGGUGUAGCGGUGAAAUGCUUAGAUAUCACGCAGAACCCCGAUUGCGAAGGCAGCCUGCCAGGCCAUGACUGACGCUGAGGCACGAAAGCGUGGGGAUCAAACAGGAUUAGAUACCCGAGUAGUC